AUAUGGUACAGUAAGUUUUCUUCAAUCAUACACAAUGUGGUUUCACUGAAAUUUGUUGAAGGAUAAUAUUGAUGAACAAUGGUAUUACUUGGCCAUAAUAUUGUCUUCAAUUUUGGGUUGAUUUUCUCAUUUCUUUCAACACUUCGUAUAUAUUAUAUAUAUAAUGUAACAAAUCAGUAAUUAGUAACACUUUGCUGAACUUGGACAUGGUCCUUGUAUAUGUAACUACCUUUUUGAUUUUCCAUCCUAACAAACAAAUUUGAUUUUCAGUAAC